rnacentral:rRNA from 1 species
UACGAAGGGGGGCUAGCGUUGUUCGGAUUUACUGGGCGUAAAGCGCACGUAGGCGGAUCGUUAAGUCGGGGGUGAAAUCCUGGAGCUCAACUCCAGAACUGCCUUCGAUACUGGCGAUCUUUGAGUCCGGAAGAGGUGAGUGGAACUCCUAGUGUAGAGGUGGAAUUCGUAGAUAUUAGGAAGAACACCAGUGGCGGAAGGCGGCUCGCUGGUCCGGUACUGGACGCUGAGGUGCGGAAAGCGUGGGGAGCCAAACAGGGGAGUUAAGAA